rnacentral:rRNA from 1 species
AGAGUUUGAUCAUGGCUCAGGAUGAAUGCUGGCGGCGUGCCUAAUACAUGCAAGUCGAGCGGUAAGGCCCUUCGGGGUACACGAGCGGCGGACGGCUGAGUAACGCGUGGGAACAUGCCCCAAAGUGAGGGAUAACGCACCGAAAGGUGUGCUAAUACCGCAUAUGGUCUUCGGGAUUUAAAGGAUUUAUCCGCUUUGGGAGUGGCCCGCGUACGAUUAGAUUGUUGGUGAGGUAACGGCUCACCAAGUCGACGAUCGUUAACUGGUCUGAGAGGAUGAUCAGUCAGACUGGAACUGAGACACGGUCCAGACUCCUACGGGAGGCAGCAGUAAGGAAUCUUCCACAAUGGGCGAAAGCCUGAUGGAGCAACGCCGCGUGCAGGAUGAAGGCCCUCGGGUCGUAAACUGCUUUUAUGAGUGAAGAAUAUGACGAUAACUCAUGAAUAAGCACCGGCUAACUACGUG